CCUACGGGUGGCAGCAGUGAGGAAUAUUGGUCAAUGGACGCGAGUCUGAACCAGCCAAGUAGCGUGAAGGAUGACUGCCCUAUGGGUUGUAACCUUCUUUUAUAUGGGAAUAAAGUGUUCCACGUGUGUGUUUUAGUCUGUACCUUAUGAAUAAGGAUCGGCUAACUCCGUGCCAGCAGCCGCGGUAAUACGGAGGAUCAGAGCGUUAGCCGGAUUUAUUGGGUUUAAAGGGAGCGUAGGUGGAGUGUUAAGUCAGUUGUGAAAGGUUGCGGCUCAACCGUAAAAUUGCAGUUGAAACUGGCAGUCUUGAGUACAGUAGAGGUAGGCGGAAUUCGUGGUGUAGCGGUGAAAUGCGUAGAUAUCACGAAGAACUCCGAUUGCGAAGGCAGCUCACUGGACUGCAACUGACGCUCAUGCACGAAAGCGUGGGUAUCGAACAGGAUUAGAUACCCCAGUAGUC
rnacentral:rRNA from 1 species